AGAGAUGUGUGAUGACGCAUAUCAAUAAGCGGAGGAAAAGAAACUAACAAGGAUUCCCUUAGUAACGGCGAGUGAAGCGGGAAGAGCUCAAAUUUGAAAUCUUCAAGGUUCUACCUUGACGAAUUGUAGUUUAUAGAAGUGUUUUCUGUUAGUAGAGUGGCAAAAGUUCUUUGGAAUAGGACAUCAUAGAGGGUGAGAAUCCCGUAUUUGGUCAUUCCUCCUAGCGUUGUGAUACACUUUCAACGAGUCGGAUUGUUUGGGAAUGCAGUCCAAAAUGGGUGGUAAAUUUCAUCUAAAGCUAAAUAUUGGCGAGAGACCGAUAGCGAACAAGUACCGUGAGGGAAAGAUGAAAAGAACUUUGAAAAGAGAGUUAAACAGUACGUGAAAUUGUCAAAAGGGAAGCGUUUGACACCAGUGUUGUUUUUCCGAAAAUCAAUUACGAAUGUUUUGUUUUUGAGGAGUUAUGACUUCAUCGGCUUGCUCCUUUCUUUACGAAACUUUCUUAAUGCACUUUUCGGUUAACAAGUCAACAUCAAUUUCUUUUGUUGUAAAAGGGUAUGAGGAAGGUGGCUUUCUUUUCGGAGAAAGUGUUUAUAGCCUUGUACCUCUGCAAUCGGAGAGAUUGAGGUCUGCAGCGUAGAUCCUUCGGGGUUAGAUACAUUUGUGCUAAGUUAUAGCUUUUCAUAGACAACUUGUUGACUAUGUUUAGUCUUGUAGCUUACUCGCUUAUGCUAUUUUACCUACGCUUAGGAUGUUGACAGCAGUAUAGACUGU
rnacentral:rRNA from 1 species